rnacentral:rRNA from 1 species
AUUGAACGCUGGCGGCAUGCCUUACACAUGCAAGUCGAACGGUAACAGAUCUUCGGAUGCUGACGAGUGGCGAACGGGUGAGUAAUACAUCGGAACGUGCCUAGUAGUGGGGGAUAACUACUCGAAAGAGUGGCUAAUACCGCAUGAGAUCUACGGAUGAAAGCAGGGGAUUGCAAGACCUUGUGCUACUAGAGCGGCCGAUGGCAGAUUAGGUAGUUGGUGGGAUAAAAGCUUACCAAGCCGACGAUCUGUAGCUGGUCUGAGAGGACGAUCAGCCACACUGGGACUGAGACACGGCCCAGACUCCUACGGGAGGCAGCAGUGGGGAAUUUUGGAAAAUGGGCGCAAGCCUGAUCCAGCAAUGCCGCGUGCAGGAUGAAGGCCUUCGGGUUGUAAACUGCUUUUGUACGGAACGAAAAGCCCUGGGUUAAUACCCUGGGGUCAUGACGGUACCGUAAGAAUAAGCACCGGCUAACUACGUGCCAGCCGCCGCCGUAAUAC